rnacentral:rRNA from 1 species
GACGAACGCUGGCGGCGUGCUUAACACAUGCAAGUCGCACGGGGCCCGCAAGGGUUCAGUGGCGGACGGGUGCGUAACACGUGAGGAACAUGCCCAUCGGUGGGGGAUAGCCGGCCCAACGGCCGGGUAAUACCGCGUACGCUGCUCGGGGCGCAUGCCCUGAGUUGGAAAGCAGCAAUGCGCCGAUGGAGUGCCUCGCGGCCUAUCAGCUAGUUGGUGAGGAACGGCUCACCAAGGCUACGACGGGUAGCUGGUCUGAGAGGAUGAUCAGCCACAUUGGGACUGAAACACGGCCCAGACUCCUACGGGAGGCAGCAGUGGGGAAUAUUGCGCAAUGGCCGAAAGGCUGACGCAGCGACGCCGCGUGUGGGAUGAAGGCCU